rnacentral:rRNA from 1 species
AUCCGGACGGUAGAAUUCAUAGACGGAGUCGCGCGGAACCAUGUAGCCGCGCGUCAUCCGUCUGAUAUUUCUGCCGUCGAUGUAAAAGUGCGGACGUCGCAACCCGUUCGACGUCGAUCUAGGAGCCGUGUAAACGUUCGUCGUCUUGCGGGCGGUUCGCCGCACGCGUAUGGCGAAUUACGUGGUCUUCGUUCUGGUCGACGCCGUCGGACGGUAGCUGUGCGCGGUAAUUGGCGUCGCCUCGCGCGACGUCCAACGCCUGUUAGCGACGAAUCUUCGGGCCUCUUUCCGACCCGUCUUGAAACACGGACCAAGGAGUCUAACGUGCGCGCGAGUCGCGGGGUAUCGAGUCGUGUGAAUUUAAAUCGGCGACUCGUUACGAUACGAAACCCGUGUUUAUGUAAACGCAAGGCGUAAUGAAAGUGAAAUUUGGGAAGAUGAUGUUCGAGUUCACGUUUCUCGGUCGCUUUGUAUCGAGGCCGAACAUCCGCACUCCCAGGGCGUCCUAAUCGCACGUCUCGAAUGCGGACGGUCGCUUCGCGGCGGCCGUCGGUUUUUGACGAGCCGGGGCGCACCUAUAGCGUGCACGUUGGUACCCGAAAGAUGGUGAACUAUGCCUGGCCAGGAUGAAGUCAGGGGAAACCCUGAUGGAGGUCCGCAGCGAUUCUGACGUGCAAAUCGAUCGUCUGARC